rnacentral:rRNA from 1 species
GAAACUCAAAGGAAUUGACGGGGACCCGCACAAGUAGCGGAGCAUGUGGUUUAAUUCGAAGCAACGCGAAGAACCUUACCUAAGCUUGACAUCCCAAUGACAUCUCCUUAAUCGGAGAGUUCCCUUCGGGGACAUUGGUGACAGGUGGUGCAUGGUUGUCGUCAGCUCGUGUCGUGAGAUGUUGGGUUAAGUCCCGCAACGAGCGCAACCCUUGUCUUUAGUUGCCAUCAUUAAGUUGGGCACUCUAGAGAGACUGCCAGGGAUAACCUGGAGGAAGGUGGGGAUGACGUCAAAUCAUCAUGCCCCUUAUGCUUAGGGCUACACACGUGCUACAAUGGGUAGUACAGAGGGUUGCCAAGCCGUAAGGUGGAGCUAAUCCCUUAAAGCUACUCUCAGUUCGGAUUGUAGGCUGAAACUCGCCUACAUGAAGCUGGAGUUACUAGUAAUCGCAGAUCAGAAUGCUGCGGUGAAUGCGUUCCCGGGUCUUGUACACACCGCCCGUCACACCACGGGAGUUGGAGACGCCCGAAGCCGA